rnacentral:rRNA from 1 species
UACGAAGGGGGCUAGCGUUGUUCGGAAUUACUGGGCGUAAAGCGCGCGUAGGCGGUGAUCCAUGUCAGAGGUGAAAGCCCGGGGCUCAACUCCGGAAUUGCCUUUAAGACUGCAUCGCUAGAAUUGUGGAGAGGUAAGUGGAAUUCCGAGUGUAGAGGUGAAAUUCGUAGAUAUUCGGAAGAACACCAGUGGCGAAGGCGACUUACUGGACACAUAUUGACGCUGAGGUGCGAAAGCGUGGGGAGCAAACAGG